CUCUCAGUUCGGACUGGAGUCUGCAACCCGACUCCACGAAGCUGGAUUCGCUAGUAAUCGCGCAUCAGCCACGGCGCGGUGAAUACGUUCCCGGGCCUUGUACACACCGCCCGUCACACCAUGGGAGUCGGAAAUGCCCGAAGUCAGUGACCCAACCGUAAGGAGGGAGCUGCCGAAGGUGGAGCCGGUAACUGGGGUGAAGUCGUAACAAGGUACC
rnacentral:rRNA from 1 species